AUGAAAUAUUGCAUUAUAAAUUAUUAUUGUAUUAUUAAUUUAUUACUAAAUUCCAGAAAAAUACCUACAUGAACAUCACGUUUCUCAGUUGGCAAUUUGGCAUUUUCAAGUGCUUCUGUAACCUGAUCCAAGGCUUUCUGUACUUUCCUCUCAGCCUUCCCUUUGUUGCUUACCCGUGUGCUUUGCCCAGUCUGUUCUGGGUACCUGCCUAUGGAUUUUGGAUGCCUUGCUAAGUUUAGGAAUGGCUGAGAGUGUAACAGAGGGCAACGUGGGCAGGAUCCCACAUGGAAUUCAUUCUGCCAAGUGCUCCUUCCUCAUCAAAAUUCUGACUCUGAACAGCACUGUAGCCCUGUGGCUCUGCUGGGAUCAUCAGCUGCUGCUUCUUGGAGUCAAGCAGCAAACAGGAAAAGCCAGCUUUGCCAGCUGCUUUAUUGCUACUGUACAGCACAGGUGACCACAUGAAGGGACCUUUCCCUUGUUCAAAGGGCUUUCUGUUGCUAACACUGCACUGCCUGUGGCAUGCAGUCACUGAGCUGGAAACCUGUCCUGGCAGAGACACUCCUAACAGUACAUUUCAUUUUCUCCCUGUCACAAUAGGCAGCACCUCUGGACCUUACCAGCAUGUCCAGGACUAAGACAUAACUGGCUGCUUGUGCUCCAGAACAGUAAUAAGAUUUGCAGGAAAUAAGGAUAAAGCUUGUAGGGACUCUAUGACCUUGUUCUCUGUUACAAAUAGAUUAAGAGGUUCCAAAAAUAAAAGUUUAAGAAGCAAUACUCUUAUAGUCUUAAAUUAUCUCUAGGAGUCAAGAGCUACACAAGUUAAAAAAAAAAAAAUCCUUCCGGUCUGUUGUGUUUAUGUCAGGUUAAAUAUACAUAUUCCUAUGGAACUAAAUCUGUAAGUGCUACAAAAAUACCCAAAACAAGACCUCAGCUCUGCUGCUUAUCUUCCAGCAUUUCUAUUAUUUCAAGAGCCUAUAGAGCCCAGCCUGGAACAGAAUGAUUUGUCUCGGAGAUCCAAACCAACUGGAAAGUUAAAAAUUGGCUGAUUUAACUUUUCUCACAGUCCACACAAUGUAAAGUAUUUUAUUCACAAGAAUAUGUUUAUAAAUGUCCAUGAGAACUGGGAUGGGUGUGUGUGUGUGAGAGGAUGACAAUGUUCUCUCUUCUCCCAUAGUAGCAGAAAUAGUUCAUUUUUAUACCACCGAGCACCAUUCAAGAAUGUCUCCUUGCUGGAGAUACCAUUUGCUACCACACCUCACUGAAAUCCAGGAGGGAAAUAGAGCAGGCCUAAGGGUUGGCACAAAAACUCAGAGGUUUCCACAAACAGAAUUUCAUGAAAAGCACUCCAUUCUACAUUUCCUACGUUUCAAGUCAAGGGGGAAAAUAUAAACAUUUAAAACAUAUCAGCUUUUGUGCCUUCUAAGUAUCUACAUCAGGAGCCUUACAUUAAAAGCUGAACAACCUACAUUUGGGAAGAAAUCAAGCCACAACAGGAAAAGGAGGAAACCCAAGAGUACUGCCAAUUCUUUUGCAGGAUCAGGCCAGAGUGACCCCUGCAGGUGUCCUGGCCAGAGUGAUAUCCUGCAGAUAGGUGGUUAAAUGGCAAGCUACAACCUCUUAACUAUGCCAUUUUUAACGCACAAGUUCCUCAUUUUCCAGGGAACAGAAAAAAAAAAGACCUCUAACAAACCAAGCAACAGACUCAAGUUAUAUUUUAUCUCUUCCUUCAAACUAAACUGACUGAACUUCUGUCCUGGGGUAGUGAACUCACAAAACCACCAGCAUUAGCUGUAUCAUUCAAACUGAACAUUGGCAUAAAUAAAUACAAGGAAAUCAAAUUUAUUUUGGAUGGCUGAACUAUCUUAAAAAAAUGAGAAUGCAAGCAUUUUAUAGAUCCUUAUUGGUUGAUAUUGAGAUUACACAGAAUAUAGAGUGAUAUAUCUUGAGAAAUUACUUACUAUUAACACCUUUCCAGCAGCACAAAAAGGCAGUAUUUGUUUCUACAUAAUGCCACCUGCCGGUAUUCAUCUUUUGCUUCUACUCCCAAACUUGGAAAACAGAUCCCAGGGAGCUGAAAGAGCCUUUGGUUUCCCAUCUGCAUUUCACAGAGUACAGUGGGAUUCUGAGCAGAUGUAGUAGCUACCUGCCAUUUGGAAACUGAACAAGGAUGCUGGUUGAUUAGAAACACAAUGGAAAGGCAGGCAAAGAUGUCAACCUUCCAGACAUUACAGAAGACAGAGACGAAAUACAAAUAAACAAAGACUUAAUGUCUAACUCCUCAGACAAACACACUGAAGUUAGCAGCAUGUGUUUGGAAAACACAAAUGCAACUUUCAGACAUUCUAGUUACAGAGAAUGAAACUGGCUAUUUUAAUUAUUUAUUUACGCACCAGUUCUAUUAUGUGUUGCUCAGUAGAGACAUUUGCAUAAUUUAAAACUAGUCUAGCUUAAAGUUAUAGAUACCAAACCAUUCCCAUAUAGCUUAGAUAUGACUGAGCAAAAUACUGUUGGCCAGCUCUCCUCUCCUCCCUCUCCAUAUCUGCUACCAUUGGAAUGGCUACGUUUGUGGAUAGCAGUUUUUCACAGUAUCACUGAGCUGACAGACACACCACACACAAAAUAUUCCCCACUGGCUGUUUCCAAAUAGCCUGGCCUGACUCCAGUCACUGCACCCCAUGAAUUGUGCCUGCCUAAAGAGCUGCAUGCUUUGGAGAAGUCUGCAGCUUAUGGGGCUGACCCAGGAGCCAAGGCCUUAACUUGGAAAACCCUUUGACAGACUUUUAUCACCAAUGUCCUCAAACAGAGAGGAAAUGCAAGAACAAGCAUUGAAAACCACAAAUGCUUAUCAUGCCUGUUGAGGAAACAAACUUUAAAAAAAAAAGCUUACAACUGUAUAAUGAGUCUUAAUGACUGAUGAAUUCAGCUGAAUAAGGAUUCCUGGAUCUGUGUUUUUAACUCCUCCUUGGGAUUAGGAAAAAUAGGUAUUUUAUCAGUUGACCACACUGACAAGUUAUUCUUAACACCUCAGCACAAAACACAGUAGUGAUAUUCUCUCAUGCUUAAGAAGAACCCCAUUCUUACUUUCAUCAGCUCUUCACAAGAAUGCUACAGUCACACCAUGGGGGCCACUGAGCAGACGACGUGAGACUGGGACAGAAGCACUUAAAACUGAGAGCUAGACCAGCAGAUAUAGCUCUAGUGCAACAAAGGUUGCAUUUUCUAAGCAUCUCUCAAACUAAACCCUCACAUCUGGUACAAUGAGGUAGACAAAAGUUACUACAUCUUCAUUUAAAUUUCCUUAACUCCCAGCGCACAUCUUACACCAACACAUUCUUUAUGUUCCUACCUGUGCUGCAUGUGCAUUAUACAAUAUUUUGAAACGGUAUCAAAGCCUGCUGUCAGUGCUUCUUUCUAUCAUGACACAUUUUAAAAAAACCAAACACUUCAUAGAGUUGAACUUUUGGAAAAACUGUUUUGCACUAUCUUAAGUUGCAAAUACAAUAAAAUCCAGAGUAAGCACAUCAUAGCUCAAAAAAGCCAAAGCAAUCCCUGGAUAUAUUCACUACUGAAGAGAGACUAUAUCAUCUCUGAUUAUGACAUUAGCAAAACUGAGGUUAGAAAACUCCACCCAGCUCUGAUAUUUACAAUUCAGGCAGUUGAAGAACUGGAAAAGACAUUAAAGAAAAGGUCAUAUUUAGAAAAACUGAGUUCUGUAAGGAACCUCUUUAUUUGUAGCAUUUAUGCAAGAAAAAUGAAAAGUAAAGUCAACAAAGUCAUAGAGAAAGCACACUAGGCAUUGUGGGCUUUUCAAUAAAAUAGGAGAAAGACUUCAAAAAAAGCAAUGCCUGCAAAUUAGGACAACUCAAAUUCCAAUUUAAAAAUAUAGCAAGUGUUUUUAAUGAGACUGAUUUACAGUUUGAAUACAUUACUAGCAGUGGUGGCAGGGUCACUCUUUCAAAUCAAGUCUGGGACCUCUCAGAUAUCCUGACCUGGCCCUAAACACUUCCAAGGACGGGCACCCACAAUUUCUCUGGGCAGCCUGUUCCACUGCCUUACUAUCCUCUGAGUCAAAAAUUUCCUCCUGACAUCUAAUCUAAGCAUCCCCUAUUUUAAUUUAAAACCAUUCCCCCUUGUCCUAUCAUGAUCUGCUCCUGUAAGAAGUUGUUCUCCACCUUUUUUUGAAGCUCUCUUUAAGUACUGAAAGGCCACAAUGGGAAGAAAUACUAUUUCCUCACCUGUUUUUUGUAUGGAAAGUUAGAUUUACAGUUACAUUUCCAGUUUUAUGAGUUCUGGUAUUUAAUACACAGAUAACUUCAAGCAUAUUAAUACAUUUUAUGGGGAUUUACAAGUUACAAUACAAAACUGUGUACUGGGUUCUGCUUUGAGCACGUAUAACCCAUCAUACAUUUGUCAGCUGGUAUGUUAUGCUUCUUACUGUCAAAGUGACAUAUACAGGAAGGUUCAUUUAUUAAAACUGUAACUGAACAUAUAGAGCCCUGGCUGACCAUCAGAAAGUAACAAAACCCAAAAAAACAAAACCCAAAAAAAGCUGCUGUGGCUGUGCUGCGUUAACUCUGCAGGUAGAACAGCACAGUCCCUUCAGCAUGGAGAUGGCUCUGUCAAAAGUAUCAUUUCAAUACCCCAUGCACAGGACUGCUUUCACAACUCAAGCCAUUAGAUAAAAACAAAAUUUAAAAAAAUCCAACAGCCCUCCAACAUGGCUACUCUAAUAAAAUAUAAAGCACAAAAUAAGUAAGCCUUGUGCUGCAUACUAAGGCUUGGCCACUAAUAGGUUCUUCCACAUCACAAAAAACCCAGGACCUCUUCUCCCAAACCCACAUUUCUGUGUUUAUGCUACUCUACCUAACUUCCUCCUUCGCAUGCAGCCUGGGAAUUCUACCUUUGAUCAAUCCUAGCUGAACUAAGAUUUCAUCUGACAAGUUAUUCUGCAGAUGGCUUUUGAAAGGGAUGACACUUUGAUUUACUGGGUAGAUAAACAAGGAAAUAACACAUCUGCACAGACAGCCAAAGGCUGCAGUCCCACAUACAGUAGUGCAUGGAUGGCCUACUGAAGAUAACUUAAGUUGAACAUAAUCAAAUUAUAUCAAUGAAGGCUUUUUAUCAGAAUGAAGGAGGCAUUCUUGACUUUACCUUGGUGGAACAGGUCCUGCUUCCAGUGUAAAUACAGUAGUGUAUAGACACACGUCAAGGAACACAAUAUUCUUCAGUGUUUUUAAACACUAGGGUGCUUUUGCUGCAUGCUUCCUCACAAAAGUAAGGCUGACAGUAUGGGUAUUGUCGUGUACAGCAAACUUCUGUUUCACACAUAAGUGUAAGAGUUCUACCCUGCCACCUAAAACACACCUAAAUAAUGAGAUUGUUCAUUUAUUGAUGAGGUUUGAGACUUGGUGGAAGAUAUGACACAGAAAGUAAAUAAAUUAUUUCAAAUGUUAUUACCUGUGUAAUUUUAAAGAAAAAAACCUCAUCAGUUGCUUAUUUCCUGCUUGCUCAAGUCUCACAAAUCCCCUAGCAGUUCAGAUUUGUAAGUAAUAAGGAUUUCAGGCUUAUCAUGGUUUCUAAAUACAGGCACAUGACUCCUUUAUUCCACCUUCAGCUUAACAGGACAGUGCAUGCUUAAUUCCUAGGUAUAUUCAACUGACCUCCAAUGCUCAAGCAUUAGUGCUUUCAUUGUGGCUGGGGGUAAACAGCAGAACAUGAUGCAGUCCCAUAUUUCAAAGCUCUUAAUUGUUCAGCUGACCAGCAGAAUGCUCCUGUCUCUGAGUGCCAGAUGUGAUGUUGGAGGCCAAGGGGCACACCACUAUGCUUCAAAUGCAAUCACAGAGGAACUCCAUGGCUGAGUGAGAAUCCUGCCAACUCACACACCUGUAGCUGAGAGCUGCCAGAGGAAGAUAAAGAAGCAGCCCAGAACUGAUCAAUCUGCUGAAAUUUUCUGGGUUGAUGGUACUAUAAAAAUAAAGCUCAGUUGUCAACAACAACUUUGCAAACAUGGUGUCAUGCAUGUCACACAUAGCCAUAAAAGGAGCUUUCCACACCAAAAGCACAUGCUUGAGGUGCUCAAAUCUCUCUGAAAGGAAAUGCUUUUCAUCACAACACUCCCCAUCUUAGGCUGCAAAUUCAGCUCAGUUUAGGUCUAGCAGUGUUUUCUACCUGCACAGCUAAAUAAAAACACUUCCUGUGAAGAGGUCCACUCCCUUUGGAGAUGCAGAUCUGAAAAGAUGCAGCUGUCAAGCCAGUUCUGCAUUCAGAGGUUCCCUGGCAAUACCCAAUUAGGCUAUUUAAAUAAAUUCAGCCACAAGAACAAAAUAAAUACAGGCUCAACUGCAAUUAAAAGCAAACAGUCUAAACAGAAAUACUUUACAGCUUAGUACAGCCUUCUGCAUUUCCCAAGUGGUCCUUCCCUUCGAACCUGGAAGUCUGUAUGAUGGGACUCAAAAGAUUGUUAUAACAUGAAUCACUCAAAAGAGAAGGAUAUUCAAGAGUUUGAUACAUAGCUAUGAUGCCAUUCAGUUCACAUAUUCUUGUCUCUUACCCUGCUUAAUCUCUUGUGCAGGCUGGGAGUCUCUGGCUGAUAUAGCUGUGAGCCAGAGAGCUGCACAAAGAUGGGAGAUAUCUGCUCUCUCAGCGUGCAGCCACCUGCCUUAGCCAGCAGGCACUGCACUGCACACCACUGGCACCCUGCUUUGCACCCUGUGCACUCACAGCUAAUGCCAGCUACUUCACCGCAGCCUACUGCUUUAGUGACCAUUUCAUCAUUCAAAACUCUGCUCUUUUCAUGUUUUUUAAACAACCAGGCAGUACACAUGGGUAAAAACAUUUCAGUAGAGGCCGCUAAAAAGUAAUGAGACUGAAGGAAGAUUGUUAUUGCUGCUAAAAAGUAAUGAGACUGAUUCUUGAAGAAUGCUACACCUCAUUUAAGAUUUUUAUUAAGAACAUUAAGAGAAAAAUAAAAAGCUGGUAUUUAUUGGCAACACUAAACCCAUGUCAAUAAACAAAGCACAACCAAGUAACGGUGGAAAGACUGGAGUAAGAGAUGUGAUGACAUUGAAAACAACAAGAACGUGCAAAUAAUAAACUUCAGCAAAAAGGUGUUAUGAAUUCCUAAAUGCUGUGGGAAAAACUUCUGUUGACAGUAAGAGAGAAGGAACAGCACAUGCAUUAUGAUGGAGAUCACAAAUCAAAACCAGAGUGCCACUUGGGAAAAAAGGCAGGGGAAAUCCUACAGCUUUUCUCUCUUAAGGAAAACAUUUUCCACUGUGAAAAGAGCCACUGCACAAGGCACUAGCUGAUUCUCCACCAGAAAAUAAAAGUGUGCUGUUGUGAUCAGGUUUACAAAAAUAAAAACUGAAAAAAAUCAAACUGGAACAAGCACACAGAAUAAUUAUUAGGCUAAAACAGGAACAAAGAAAAGUUUCACACAAGAGAGGAGUUUGACUGAAGGGCCAUAGCCAUACAAAAAACCUCCAGUAUUACUUGACUGCAUCCUACAAAUACAUAAAAAGUAGGCACAAAAGAGAGGGGGACUUUUCUCAUCCCCAAAAGUCGGCAUUGACACUAGAAUAAAAGGAUAUCAAGUUGGCCAUGAAUGGGGUAGUGCAGAACUCAUGAGACCUCUGUUAAACACAGCAGAAAUACUCUACAGCUACUUUUCAGUAAGAGUAACUCCUUCUAAUAGUCCAGUAGAUUUGUUAGAGUAUACACUGAUAUACACAAUUGCUUCCAGAAAACCAGUGAAGGUGGAAGGGAGGAUUAUUCUUGUAUAUGUAAGCACAACUGUCAUGCUAAAAUGAGACCAAGUUGUUGAGUUUUUCUUCUCAUAAGCUCACCAUUUAACCACAAAUAUGUAAAAUAUGACAAGUAUACUCCUUUACUUACAUACUGAGGAACCACAGUUAAAAGGUCCUACCUACCCAAUGCUUUCUAAAUCGAUCUCCCCACUCUUUCCUUAACAGCACAGAAAAAUCCCCAGAACUUCUCAACGAGGAUCAGAGUGAUGAACAGAACAGAAACAUCAGAGCUAUGCUGUGUACAAAUUGCAGGCAUAUCCAUUCUGAGCUAGAAUUGAAUCUAUACUGCUUCUUGUGGGCAAUGCUGUCUGCUCCAGCCAUCUGUCUGAAUGAGCCUGGGAAUAAAAACAACUUGGUAACACCAAAACUUCAGGAAACUUUACAGUACUUGACAGUGACAACAGAAGCUUUCUUGAGCUGCCAUCAAAGCAAUAUCAGGUGCAAGAUCAUCAAGAAUGGGAGUGGUUUUUGAUAACCAAGCAGCAGAGCACAUUCCCACAUGCCUCAAGCCCAGCUUAAUCAAGUAAGGAGUAUGUAAUUAUUACUGACAUUUCCAACCAUUAACUUCUUUCAGACCAAAUAUUAAUAGUAGGAUUCAUCUCUCCUUAUAAAGGUCUAAAAACUAGACAUGCAAAUUUGAGCUAGUCACCCCAAAACAGUCCUUAACUGUUGGAAAAAAACAGAGAGAGGUAAUUUUUUGCCUGCUUCACUCCAUAAAGGGAAAACCCAAGGUCACUGGCACAGAGCUGUGCAUUUGAUCUUUAAAUAGAAUUUUUCUCUCCAACUUAACCGUCUAAAAGUAACUGUGCAGAUUUUCAAAACUCAAGAGUUAUUAAUAAAAUAUGAGUAGUUGUUUGGGUUAUAUUUAACAACAAAUUGGGUUAAAGUUAAAAACAAACUUCAGUAACAGCACUUCUGUACAGAUCUUCAUGUCCUAAGAAUUAUCACUUUUUAUCAGCCUUUUCCAGCAUAAAGGAAGAAGUCUGUUACAGCUUUGACACAAAGUUCAGCUAUAGGCAACCAAAGGAAAGGAAGAAAGCUCCCCAAAAUCAUGAUUAGUGUAGUGGAAGUCACACACAUGACAAAGUUAUCACACUAAUUGCUAUUUCUUCCUUUUAAAGGGAACAAAUCAUUUGCAGGAAAAUAUUUCACUUCACCUUUCAUGUGUAUGAGAAGAAAAACACGAAGAAAAAGACAAUUUUUGAGAGGACCUGAACAACAGAUUGUUGCAGGAUAAAUAAAUUUCUUUUGUUUCUUCUAGGUAGGAAGAUUAUGUGGCAUAGUAUUUGCAUAAUCAGAAUUUAUUCUUUAUUAAAGCAGAUGUGGAAUGUUACAGAAAAGAUUAAUGCUGAAUUUUAGCCAUGGCUCUUCUCCCCAGGUAUGCAGAGAAAGGGUGAGGGGAGAGUAAGAAAAGUGCAUCACAUACAAAGCAGGGACUACUCAAACUGAACUCAUCAGUAAUUUCACAGCCUGCAAUUGAGAGAAUCAGCUGCAACUUGUUUUCUGAUUGCAGAGCAUGUUUUUCCCCACUGGAAAGGACUGGGGGAAGCCUUCCCUAGUUUUAUGAAGGAUUUAAAACUAUAUUUAGUAAAAAUAUUUUAGUUUAGGGUAAGGGGAUGGAGAGAAAAAACAAGAUACAAGAGCUAAAAAGCUUUACCCUUAAUAGAAGAUAUGGAGCAUGGUCUUACAGGACUUUGUGUGCCAGAUUAUUCCUUUGAGCACAAGAGCAGAGGAUCCCAUUCCCUCUCCAUCCUGCCCUUUCUGCUCCAUUUGCAUGAUCUCCCUCCUCCCCCUCCAGUUCUGAGGCUCCUCUGACUCAAGAUGAGGAACUCAGCCCUCCACAGGCACACACAGGCCAAUGUUUUACCAUGGUGCAAGAUGAGGGUCAGAGAUGACUUGAGGCAAAUGGAAGGAGCAGGCAAGGACUGUUCUUUUGGCUUCACCACUUACAUCCACUUUAAUCCAUCUGUUCCAGAGGAGACAUACAAACACCUCCUUCUCAUGCUCUGCACAGCCUACCCUCUGACCUACUGUCCAUUAAUUUACUUUGCUCUUAAUAGACAUUACUGUCCAAAGGAACACAGCCUCAAACUAGUACAGUUUUAGGAAAAAAAAUCUGGGUUCUUUUCAACCAGCAAAAUGAACAUUAGAAUCUUACAUUGCUACAUAAAUCCCAAAAUUAUGGCUAUCUUCUCACGUGCAGAUCUGCUGCUUAUAAGUAAACUAGGUAUGGGAGCACAGAACCAGGAAGGAGGUAACAAUGAAAAGAUGAGCAACUCUUUUGUUGUAAAUUCAGAUUAAAUCCCAAUAGCAAUUUUGUUUACAAUCUUUCUGCUCUCUGAGCUGGCCGUUUUAUGCUGCUAUAAAACAAAAACAACCACCAGCUUUCCUGCUGAUUUAUCUCUGUGCAGCAACCAUGAGAAGACCACUGGAUCCUUUCUUCCCUCUCAUGAGUCUGCAGUAUUUCAACCUCAUUCAGCAACACAAACAGGCAGAAUACAUUAGCCUCAGUUUAUAAAAUAGAUGUCUAUUUUGGUACCAAGAACCACAGUCAUUGAUGCUAUUUCUGGAGCAGAGAGAUUUGAAAGCACAGUCCAGAACAAUAAUGCUUUUAGAAAGUCUCAUGCUUUUCCUACUUAGGGUACUUCAGAAGUCAUGCAUCUACAAGACAACCUUCACACUGCUAUCUCAUCCUUCGUUUUUGUCCUGAUCCCAGCCAGGACAGAGUCAAUUUCUGCAGUAGUUGGGAGGACAGGGCCUGGAGGUUGUUCUGUGCCACCUGAACAACGCCAGGGGCCUGGCAAAGGGACUGUCUUCCAGGGAGAAGGGGUUCCAUACAGUUGAGAAAGUUGCAGAGGGAGUCACCUGGCAUUGUCUAUUAUCCUUUGUUUUCUUUCUGUGUGAAUUGAUUUAUAUACCUUUUGUUAUUAAUAUUGUUGCUGUUACUGUUCAUUUUCUUAUCUCAUUGCUGUUUCCAGUAAAUUGUUCUUAUCCCAGCCCAUGAUCUUUGCAUUUUGUCCCUCCAGCUGGAGGCGGGGGGAGGAAAUGGCACAUGCGCUUAGUGGGAGUGCUAAAUUGAAGAAUUCAUUUCCGAAACCAUGGCACCUUUACUUUCAUAUCCUGGGUACUUCCCAUUCCAAGACACAGGUGGUCAGUAAAUUACACAAGUAUUUUUAUAACUAACAUAUCCUACUCCACUUAAGUUCAUUUUUUGCCACUGCUACAUCUGCAAUGCACAUCUGCUCUGAAGAGCUUCCAGGCAGGUGAUCUUUUCUUUUUUUUACGUAGUAGAGAGCAGAGCAAAAAUUCAAUUGUCAACUACAAGCACUCAAAAACUCCAUUGCAAAUAAUGAGGUUAGGCCAUAAACUGCAACUUGUAAAAACAGUAUACUUAAAGGGUGUUUUAUAUUUGUUAUAACUGGGUGUUUAGCAGUCAUCCUCAAGCUUUUUUCUGCCAUACCUGGAACUAUAAAUUGUUUUGGAGGCUUGGGGGGUUUGUUUGUUUUAAGUUAAGGCCAAGUUUUUCAUUAACUAAAGUCAGAAAAGCUGACCCUCACAACCCCACUACCAAGCAACAGUUCAAGAGCUUUUAGCAAUCAAGAAAGCCAACGGGGUUAGGAUUUCCUACAAAGGAAGAAAUUUACCACUGUAUAAAUCUGAGAAGCACAUGCAUAAAUUCCAGCCCCUUCAUCUCCAAAAGAUAAUACCAGAAUUAGAGAAAUUACAGAAAUAAUGGCAACAAGGAAAACCACAGAUACAAAAUGGCUACCUUAUAUAGCAUGAACCCAGGUGGAUAAAAGCUACUUAGUUUAGAGGGAGAUGAUUAGCAGCAUUGAGACUGCACAAAUCUGCAAAAUUAUGUGCAAAUUUUUUAAAUUUUUUCCCAUCCAGCAUUAUUAGGUACAAACAUGUAGCAUGUCUUGGCAACUCUCAAAAUAGCAGACAAUUGGAGACUAGGAAAAACAUUCUGAGGAAGUGUCACUACACACUUUACUCCUCCAGUUCUUCCUUCAGCUGUUCUAGUAGACCAAAGACUACAAGGCAGCUGUUUGGAUACAACCUGUCAGGGCUCCUCUAACAGAGAGCCACAAGAGCUGACAAGGCUCUUCCCCUUCCUCUUGCAUGGCUACAUGCUUUAAACUCACCUGAAAAUUCCCAACUUCCGCUCACAAUUUCAGAGAUGCUUCAGAGAAAGCUUCUUAGUGCUUUGAUAGUAAAAUAUUCCCUGUCUCCAGUGAAAUGGCAAUGACCAUUGUUUGAAAUACUGUCAGCACAGCUCAAACUCUGGGACUGACUGGUAAGUAUAACAUUGUAGGCUUCACAGCACCUACAAUUCCUCCUCAUUAAAUGAAAGAAUGGAAACACAGAUUAGCUGCAUGUACAUGCCUGAACACUUGCAGACACAGACACACUUCUGUCCAAUAGCAUGUUUUUCAGUGGAGAGAAAGGAUGAGAUACAAGAGCUAAAAUUCAGAACAGCCCAGCCUAAAGGAAGCUUCCCCCAAGGAAGCUGCAACUUACAAUCCAGUCUUUCUGCACCCAGCAUGUCGCCUCUCCAUUGGAAGGACAGCCACGUCUAUCUUACAAUAUCAUUUGUCCUACUAAGUUUUCAUAGAAUAGGGCAUGUAAAACAAAGUGUUGCUGGAAUGCAUGCCCUUCUAAAUGUGUACAUAAACUAAGACAUUAAAAUUUAGACACCUGCAUUAUUUUAGCUCUUUCUUAAUGGUUAGAGUAAGAAGCUUGUUCCCUCCUACAUUUUUCUUAAUAAACAAAAAUGUUCAAAGAGCAAUUACCAUAUAAAACAAAGUAGCAACAAAGCUCAUCAGAUCAGAAUCAGGAAGUUAAAGGGCAAAACUGGUGAAAGAACAGAUUACAGAUUUAAUUAGCUGAAAGACUUCCGUUGCUAUAAAGAAAAAUCUGAUUAGUAAAAGAUUAGACCAUUUCUUCACACAGCCUACCUGCCCUUUUUAACUUGAUUAUACCACAUCAAAGACUUUCCCAUAUGAAAACUAGUUUCAAACAUACAUUAAAAUUGUUUGCAGCUUCUGGGUAUGGGGAAGAGAGAGGACACAUUGGCUCUUAUACAUUUUUAAAUUGAAUUUGAAAUAAAGUCUUUGGUUGGCUUUGUCCACCUGCCCCUCCCCCAGGAAAAAAGAAAAAGUGUGAUUGCUGUUCUCUUGUUUAUAAACCCCAGCACUGUGCUGGGCUGUAAUUUCACAGCUAUGGGAAUAAAUACCACACUGUUGCCUGAAAAUCCUGGAAACUGCAAAUAUGAAAGCAAACAGCAGUACAAUGCCACAUCUUACCUUGCUUUAUUAUUAAAAGCAACUACAGUAAUGGGAGAACAACACUUGAAGAAAGAAAAUCAAAGUCAGGCAACAAUUCACACUGAAAGAGUCCUCAGUCAAAGCCCACUAUAAAAUGUGCACAGUCAACAGGAGUAUAAGUUCAUUAAACACACUAACCACAAAAUUCACAUUCACCUUAAGUACUUUGUUCCUUUCAUCCCUCCUAUGUCCACACUGGUUCUUCCUUUCUGAAGGAGAGUGCCUGAGGUCUUUAUUAUAUUUUUUCCCCUCCAAUAAAGUCUUCCAGGCCAUUUUUCUUUAUCUUUUCCUUCACUUGCUCCACAUUAAUUUUUUCUUCUGCAGUUUUCCAAUCAAUGCAGUAGCUCUGCCGAAACUUUAUUUCCUCCACAGUUCACAAACAGAUCUUUAUCCUCUCCCAGUAUUUUUCCUCCCCCACAAAAAUAUUUUUAUUUCAUUUUAACUUGUGGGGAAAGCCACCUACAGACCCUUCCUGUCGUUGUCCAGUACUGGAGAAAAGUUGUUUUCAACUCUCUCUUGCAGCACUUUUACCCCAAUUGAAUAGUCUGAUGCUUCUCCAGACCCUUACCAAGGUGGGCUUUAGAAAGUCAUCUUACUAGCUCCCUCUUUAUUCAUAGUAAGAGCUCUACUGUUUCUAGUUCUGAGCAGGAUAUAAGCCUGCAGAUUUCUGGCUAGUCUCCAUAUUCAUAGGAACAUGAAAUUUAUGCUCCAAAAUACCUUACUAAGGCGUGUAGUCCCAAAAGCCCAAAGUACUGCUGUUGCGGGGAAAGGCAGAGAAGAAACUCUGCACAAACCACAAGGUUUUGGAUGCUUAUCCAACUUGAAAAAAUCCACAAGACCCAAACUUUAAGUACCUGGGUUUUUGCAAGAGGAAGACAACCUGCCUUUCUAACCAAACAACUUCAGCAUUGUUCUGGAGCAGAGCCCAGCCUCUUGACUUUUUAAUUGGACAAUUCAGGCAAUAUCAGCUUGGCCACAAAGGCUCUGCUGUAGCAGGUUUCAGGACAAGUAUCACUUACAUCAAACUCCUACUUGUUUGUCCUCACCUACUGCCUUUUUCCUCCCAGUGGGCCAGCCUAAGGUCUGGGUGCCCUUAUACCCUGCCAUCAGUACUGGCCAUUGAUCAAUGUUCACAGAAAGCAUACAUGAAAACAGAUUAGUAGAGGAGGGGUGUUUCACCUUCUACAUUCUCCCAGGGAUUUACAUUUAGUGUUUAAUAUGUCAUGCAUCAAGUGGAUUCCCCCACCUGUCAGUUUAUCAAAUUCCUUUUCAAACCAGUUCAUACUUCUAGCCUCCACAGCACAGUAACAAGUGCCACAACUCUUCUAAACCUGCAGCACAACAAAUUUCAUUCAGUGUCCUUGGUUCUUAUUUUACAAAAACCAAAUAACAAUUGCUCUUUAUUCACCCUCUUUGCACCAUUUAUAAUUCAUAUAAAUCUAUCAGCAGCUUUGUCUUAGCUGUCUUCUUACUCAACCUGAAAUCCAAGCAUACUUCACCUGCCUCAUAUGGGCCUCUGUGCCACACCUUCAACCAUCCCUGCUCCAGUG